UACGUAGGGUGCAAGCGUUUAAUCGGAAUUACUGGGCGUAAAGCGUGCGCAGGCGGUUUUUGUAAGUCUGUCGUGAAAUCCCCGGGCUCAACCUGGGGAAUUGCGAUGGAGACUGCAAGGCUAGAAUCUGGCAGAGGGGGGUAGAAUUCCACGUGUAGCAGUGAAAUGCGUAGAGAUGUGGAGGAAUACCGGUGGCGAAGGC
rnacentral:rRNA from 1 species